rnacentral:rRNA from 1 species
AUUGAACGCUGGCGGCAGGCCUAACACAUGCAAGUCGAGCGAGCGGCGGACGGGUGAGUAAUGUUUGGUGAUUGCCCGAUAGAGGGGGAUAACUACUGGAAACGGUGGCUAAUACCGCAUACUAUCGGAUAACCCAUAUGGGUUUAGCUAGUAGGUGGGGUAAAGGCUCACCUAGGCGACGCUCUCUAGCUGGUCUGAGAGGAUGAUCAGCGACACUGGGACUGAGACACGGCCCAGAGUCCUACGGAGGCAGCAGUGGGGAAUAUUGCAAAAAGGGCGCAAGUCUGAUGCAGCCAUGCCGCGUGGAUGAAGAAGGCCUUAGGGUUGUAAAGUACUUUCAGCGGGGAGGCGUUACACGCAGAAGAAGCACCGGCUAACUCCGUGACAGCAGCGGCGGUAAUAC